UACAGAGGGGGCAAGCGUUGUUCGGAAUUACUGGGCGUAAAGGGCGCGUAGGCGGCCUUCUAAGUCGAACGUGAAAUCCCCGGGCUCAACCCGGGAACUGCGUCCGAUACUGGAAGGCUUGAAUCCGGGAGAGGGAUGCGGAAUUCCAGGUGUAGCGGUGAAAUGCGUAGAGAUGUGGAGGAAUACCGAUGGCGAAGGCAGCCCCCUGGGAUAACACUGACGCUCAUGCACGAAAGCGUGGGGAGCAAACAGG
rnacentral:rRNA from 1 species